rnacentral:rRNA from 1 species
UCGUCUCAGUUCGGAUUGCAGGCUGCAACUCGCCUGCAUGAAGUCGGAAUUGCUAGUAAUCACAGGUCAGCAUACUGUGGUGAAUACGUUCCCGGGCCUUGUACACACCGCCCGUCACACCAUGAGAGUUGAGAAUACCCGAAGCCCAUGUCAAAGUGGUCGAAGGUAGGCUUGAUGAUUGGGGUGAAGUCGUAACAAGGUAUC